UUUGCCCUUCUCUCUUUGGCCUCACAUCAUAUAUAUUCGCCACCAUGCUGCAUACAUAUAGAACCCUCUUAACCAUCAACGCAUGAGCAAACCCUCUCCUAAUCUUCUCCUUCUCGAUCAACAUGCCAACCAAAAAGGUUACCUGCCCCAAAAGUAAACCGGUGUUGCUGACCGUGUACGUGGAGAGGCCGAAGAGAAGACCAUCUUCAUCAACUCACCCUCACCAGCACCAUCCUUAUAUUCAACACACCAUCAAGCGGGAGGUUAUUCAUUACAGGCAUGGUGCCGGUGGCCAAGGCUAUAUUAGUCGGAGAGCGGAGCUGCUUCAGUUCUCUCAACGCCUUCGUUUAUCUGCUAGAUCAACAGCACCAGCAUCCAAACCCUAUUACCAAAACCAUACCAAGAGUCCAGCUGCCAAGUAGUUAGAUUGUGGCUGUCCGAAGAAAACCAAAGAAUUCAGAUCAAGCUCCCAGCUGCUUUGGAAACCGGAUUUUUCCAAGUAUUUUUGGACUUUGUACAAAUUUCCAAGCUAAGAAAGAGAGGAUGACGACAAAGAAACGCAGCGGCACUACCAGCAAUAAAAUAAAAUCUGCCAUCAAUAGCUUAAAGGGGCAAAAGAAACAGGGCUUUUUCUCCAAGUUAUUCUCAGCAUCCUCAAAGAGAAAGUGAAACUAUAACCCCUUGUAACUUUCAUAAUGAUCAAUUUUACUGUGAACAAGCCAAUGAAUAUGAUCUCUGUUGCU